CGGCCUCGUGCGCGAGCGGGUGGGAGGGGUUCCCGGCGCUGCCCGGCGCUGCGGCCCUCGCUGGGCCCGGAAGGGGCGGCCGGCUGGGCAGCUCGGGACAGCCCGGGAGGGAGGAGCUCAGCCCUUCCCGGAGAAGCCACGGCGUGCCCGCGGCGCCCCAGCCGUGGCGCGCAGAGCCGGGACUGCAGGAAGGGCCGCAUCCUCCCCGUCGGAGUCUAGAGGAGCUCCUGCCUCGGAAGUGACAGCUCUGAUCCCACCUAGAGAUCCCGCUUCCAGAGAGAGUCCCAGCUCAUCCAGGAAGCCUCUACUCUCUAGGCCUCUCCAGGAGCCACAGUAAGGCUGAGGAGGACCACAAGUGCCCCACCAGCCUCUCCAGCUCAGCCAGGCCUGCACUCUUGGAGCUGAAGGGAAUGUCUGACACCACCUCUCCGGGAGCGGGGGAGUCUUACUCAGUGACUAGGGCAGAUGGGUGGCCACAGAGACAGGGCCAGGCACACAGAGCCAGCCUGGCCCUGGCCCCGACCCCAGACGCACAGGAUUCGGUGAAAGAGCCUCCAGAAAUAUCAGUGUCUGACUUUAGUGGCAUCAUGGACCCUGAUGUUCAUCAAGCAGUUCCUUGGGCCAUUCCUUUGUUUAACAAAGCUGUUACUGAGCAUGGUGGGCAGUGCCCAGUGCAGUCCCGACAGGCCCCUCCUCUGUGUUGAUCCAGUGACAGCCCAGCAAGGGCAGACAGAGCUCCUCUGGCUCUAGCUCCAGCUCCAGCUCCGUGUCCUUGACCCCAUGGAGGCUCCUGGGACUGUCUGGCCAGGAGCAAUGGAAGCAGCUUGCCUCACAGUGAAGGGCAUGGCUCCUGAGCCAGGUGGCCUGACUUCACCACUCACUGGCUGGGUGAUGCAUUCUUUCCAUGCCUCUCUCUCUCAUUAAAAUAGUGACUGAUCAUAAAAUCUCACAUCCUGGGGCACCUGGGUGGCUGUGGUUGAGCAUCUGCCUUCAACUCAGAUCAUGAUCCUGGGGUCCUGAGAUUGAGUCCUGCAUCAGGCUCCCUGCAGGGGAGCAAAUUGCCUGCUUCUCCCUCUGCCCCUCCUCCAGCUUAUACUCUCUCUCUCUCUCAAAUAAAUAAAAUCUUAAAAAAAAAAAUCUCA
rnacentral:lncRNA from 12 species